CACGUACUCCCUCCGUUCGGAAUUACUCGUCCAAAAAAUGAAUGUAUCUAGAUGUAUUUUAGUUGUAGAUACAUCCAUUUUUGUGACAAGUAAUUCCAAACGGAAGGAGUAUGUU
rnacentral:pre_miRNA from 1 species